UACAGAGGGGGGCGAGCGUUAUUCGGAAUUACUGGGCGUAAAGCGCACGUAGGCGGCUUUGUAAGUUAGGGGUGAAAGCCCGGAGCUCAACUCCGGAAUUGCCUUUAAGACUGCAUCGCUUGAAUCCGGGAGAGGUGAGUGGAAUUCCGAGUGUAGAGGUGAAAUUCGUAGAUAUUCGGAGGAACACCAGUGGCGAAGGCGGCUCACUGGUCCGGUACUGACGCUGAGGUGCGAAAGCGUGGGGAGCAAACAGG
rnacentral:rRNA from 1 species